CUCCAUCUCAAAAAGAAAAAAAAAAAGAAAAAAAGAAGAAGAGGAGGUGACCAAACAGAACUUCUCCAGUACAAGUCUGUCUGUCAUUCCAUUUGACAUUGUAUUGUAGGCAUAAGCCCUGCCUUCCAGUUCCUUGGCAGUGGUGAAGCAGUAUGGAGCUGGGGCAGGGAGGUGGCACAUUAUAGGACUGUGAGAACACUGCUCCUUUAUACAUAAAAUUCCUACACAAUGGAUCACUUGAGGUCAAGAGUUUGAGACCAGCCUGGCCAACAUGCAAUCAGAAGAAAGGACCCCUGCUAACACUGGAUCUCUGGCUUCUGGGAUCCAAAACGGCCGAAUCAGGAUGUUGACCUUGGCCACAUCAAUGUCAUAGAGCUUCUUCACAGCCUGUUUAAUCUGGUGCUUGUUGGCUUUAACAUCCACAAUGAACACAAGUGUGUUGUUGUCUUCUAUCUUCUUCAUGGCAGACUCAGUGGUCAGCGGAAACUUGAUGAUAGCAUAGUGGUCAAGCUUGUUUCUCCUGGGAGCGCUCUUCCGAGGAUAUUUGGGCUGUCUCCGGAGUCGCAGUGUCUUCGGCCGCCGGAAGGUGGGUGACGUGCGGAUCUUCUUCUUUUUGUGGCUGUGGACACCUUUCAACACUGCCUUCUUGGCCUUUAAAGCCUUCGCUUUGGCUUCAGCUUUAGGAGGGGCAGGAGCUUCCUUCUUCGCUUUCGGCGCCAUGUUGUGAAAAGGGUC
rnacentral:lncRNA from 1 species